CAAUAACAACCGACGUCGUGUAGAACAGACCAGAAAAUUUUUACCCUUCCAAUUAUUAUUGAAUUGCGAUAGGUUUGUCUUGUUCAUUUCCAGAACCGCUCAUAUAUGAUCUUUGUGAGCAGAUAUCUGAGCGGUUGUUUAAAUAGGACAAUUUUCAAUUCAUUUAUAUAUUUCAACAGUGGUCCAGAUAGCAAAUGCACAACAGAGAAACACACAUGUUGGAGAAGUACCCCGGUUCGAAUCUCAUAAGUAUGCCGCAAAUCUAAAUAACAAAGAAACCUGAAAUAAUAUAACAGAAACCUAAUUAACAUCCAUAAAAAGAAUUGCAAUAAAUCUGUGUUGACCCACAUACUGUA